UACGGAGGGUGCAAGCGUUAAUCGGAAUUACUGGGCGUAAAGCGUGCGCAGGCGGUUUGUUAAGUCUGUUGUGAAAUCCCCGAGCUCAACUUGGGAAUUGCAAUGGAUACUGGCAGGCUCGAGUAUGGUAGAGGAAGGUGGAAUUCCCGGUGUAGCAGUGAAAUGCGUAGAGAUCGGGAGGAACACCAGUGGCGAAGGCGGCCUCCUGGGUCAAUAUUGACGCUCAGGCACGAAAGCGUGGGGAGCAAACAGG
rnacentral:rRNA from 1 species